rnacentral:rRNA from 1 species
UGGUUUGAUUCUGGCUCAGGAUGAACGCUGGCGGCGUGCCUAACACAUGCAAGUCGAACGGGAACAGAAUGAAACCUAGUGAUUUCUGUUUUAGUGGCGGACGGGUGAGUAACGCGUGGGUAACCUGCCUUGCACUGGGGGAUAACACUUAGAAAUAGGUGCUAAUACCGCAUAAGCGCACAAUACCGCAUGGUAGAGUGUGAAAAACUCCGGUGGUGCAAGAUGGACCCGCGUCUGAUUAGCCAGUUGGCGGGGUAACGGCCCACCAAAGCGACGAUCAGUAGCCGGCCUGAGAGGGUGAACGGCCACAUUGGGACUGAGACACGGCCCAAACUCCUACGGGAGGCAGCGGUGGGGAAUAUUGCACAAUGGGGGAAACCCUGAUGCAGCAACGCCGCGUGAGUGAAGAAGUCAUUCGUGAUGUAAAGCUCUAUCAGCAGGGAAGAAAAUGACGGUACCUGACUAAGAAGCCCCGGCUAACUACGUGCCAGCAGCCGCGGUAAUACGUAGGGGCAAGCGUUAUCCGGAUUUACUGGGUGUAAAGGGAGCGUAGACGGCGAGACAAGUCUGAAGUGAAAUGCCAGUGCUCAACACUGGAACUGCUUUGGAAACUGCCUGGCUGGAGUGCGGGAGAGGUAAGUGGAAUUCCUAGUGUAGCGGUGAAAUGCAUAGAUAUUAGGAGGAACACCAGUGGCGAAGGCGGCUUACUGGACCGUAACUGACGUUGAGGCUCGAAGGCGUGGGGAGCAAACAGGAUUAGAUACCCUGGUAGUCCACGCGGUAAACGAUGAUUACUAGGUGUCGGGGAGCUAGAGCUCUUCGGUGCCGCCGCAAACGCAAUAAGUAAUCCACCUGGGGAGUACGUUCGCAAGAAUGAAACUCAAAGGAAUUGACGGGGACCCGCACAAGCGGUGGAGCAUGUGGUUUAAUUCGAAGCAACGCGAAGAACCUUACCUGACCUUGACAUCCCGAUGACCGGACAGUAAUGUGUCCUUCCCUUCGGGGCAUUGGAGACAGGUGGUGCAUGGUUGUCGUCAGCUCGUGUCGUGAGAUGUUGGGUUAAGUCCCGCAACGAGCGCAACCCUUAUCCUUAGUAGCCAGCAGUAAGAUGGGAACUCUAGGGAGACAGCCGGGGAUAACCCGGAGGAAGGCGGGGAUGACGUCAAAUCAUCAUGCCCCUUAUGGCCAGGGCUACACACGUGCUACAAUGGCGUAAACAAAGGGAAGCGAGACUGUGAAGUUAAGCAAAUCCCAGAAAUAACGUCCCAGUUCGGAUUGCAGUCUGCAACUCGACUGCAUGAAGCUGGAAUCGCUAGUAAUCGCAGAUCAGAAUGCUGCGGUGAAUACGUUCCCGGGUCUUGUACACACCGCCCGUCACACCAUGGGAGUUGGAAAUGCCCGAAGUCGGUGACCUAACUGAAAAGGAGGAGCCGCCGAAGGCAGGUCUGAUAACUGGGGUGAAGUCGUAACAAGGUACCC